GCCUCACGGUUUCCCCUCUGCUCGCUGACCCCGAACGGAGACUACUCUGGCGACUCCCCGGGUCUGGGUCCGUUUCAGCUCCAACCACUUUGGAGGGUACUCGGGACCCAACAGAGGGUGAUCAAGCCUUUCUUCCACCCGCUUAGGCCUCGAAGGGGAAGUCAGGUGGGCUACAAAACCAAAUGGACCCGGAUCCUACCUGUUCAACUGGGUGGUGCUCCAAAACCCUAAUUCUGGUUCCUGCUGCCUGUGGGUUCUGUUGUGCUCCGGGGUGGCAGCUCCAGGGCACUGGGUGGUGAGUGGCCUCUCCUUCAGGCCAAGAUUUGACUGUGUGUGCUAAGGGGAAACACUGUCCCCCACUGCCGGGGGGCAGGGGGGGAGCCGGUCCCCAGAGACAAGAGAGACAGAACAGCCAUCCUUACCUCCUCCAUCCCAUCUGGAUCAACAAAAAUGUUGUAGGGACAGAUGAGGCAAGGCAAAGAACAUAGCAGGAAACAGUUUUGCAUCUGAGAAACCAAUGUGACUCCAUUUUUGAGAAACCAGCCUCUACCUCAGAGCAAAGCCUGUCCAAGGAAGGGGGCGUGACCCUUGUCCUUGGAAAGACCCACAGAGCACUCCUAGGCAGAUAGCCACCCUGCUGAGUUGUUUGUCUGUAAAUAACAGGAGAGAUCUGUGGCGCCAGGUGUCCCUGACUCAGUUAGGCUAGGUGAGGACCCAUAGCAACCCCCCUAGCAACCUCC
rnacentral:lncRNA from 1 species